rnacentral:rRNA from 1 species
UGUCUUUUUGAGUACCUUCGUUUCCUCGGCGGGUUCGCCCGCCGAUUGGACAAUUUAAACCAUUUGCAGUUGCAAUCAGCGUCUGAAAAAACAUAAUAGUUACAACUUUCAACAACGGAUCUCUUGGUUCUGGCAUCGAUGAAGAACGCAGCGAAAUGCGAUAAGUAGUGUGAAUUGCAGAAUUCAGUGAAUCAUCGAAUCUUUGAACGCACAUUGCGCCCCUUGGUAUUCCAUGGGGCAUGCCUGUUCGAGCGUCAUUUGUACCUUCAAGCUCUGCUUGGUGUUGGGUGUUUGUCUCGCCUCUGCGCGUAGACUCGCCUCAAAACAAUUGGCAGCCGGCGUAUUGAUUUCGGAGCGCAGUACAUCUCGCGCUUUGCAUUCAGAACGACGACAUCCAAAAGUACAUUU